GAUUCAAACCUACAGCCACAGCAGCUCUAACCUCCCCACCCUGCCUCCUGGCCCCCUCAGCAACGGGCUGCUCUUGCUCCUAUUGGCCGGGGCGGGGCGACAUCGCGCUGCCAUUGGUCAAAACCGGGAGAAGGGGCGGGUGGGGGCUGGGGGUAUCCAGCGCAGGGAGGCGGCCGCCAUUUUGUAGGGGUGGCGAAGGCCGCGAGCGCAGCAGCAGCAGCAGCAGCAGCGGCGGAGCCGAGGCCCGGGCUGCGCUUUGAGGGGCUCGCGAGCGUGGGCGUUGCCGGCGGAGAGGCAGCGAGGGUGGGGAAUCGGAUUCCCGGAGGCUGGGGGUGUGGGAGCGAGCGAGACGGACAGAAGUCGCUUAGACUUCUCCUCUGGAGCCUGUGCGCCGAGAAUCCGAUGUUGGGCUCGGCUUCCUGGCUGAACACAGCAGAUCAGCCCAUGAAAACUUCUAUUCCGAGCCAAAGGAAGGGGUCCAAUAGAAGACAGCACCUACUCUUUUGGGCUUGGCAGCAGGAAAGGGAACGGGAGGUGGAGGCUGCAGAGUCUGAAAAGAAGACUGAAAGGUGACAUUUAAGUUGAAGAUGGGUGGUGGAGAAAGGUUCAGCAUUCAAGUUCCCCAGUCUAGAAAUAUUACCAAGAAGAAUAAACAACUUAAUAACAGGCAAAAGAGCAAAGAUCAGAAUUCUCAAAUGAAGAUGACUUAUAUGAAGAAAGAAAGAGGACAUGGAUGUAGCUCAUCAUCUAUUGCAUGGCAGGCCAUGCAAAAUGGGGGCAAGAACACUGUGCACUUCCCAAAUAAUCAGAAUUGGAGUCCUACUUUAUCAAGUCCCAACUCACUUUUCACAUCUCAAACCAAUCAGAACUAUGCUGGAGCAAAAUUUAGUGAGCCACCUUCACCAAGUGUUCUUCCUAAGCCACCAAGCCACUGGGUACCCGUUUCCUUUAAUCCUUCUGAUAAAGAAAUAAUGACCUUUCAACUUAAAACCUUACUUAAAGUCCAGGCUUGAGAUGUAACUUUAAAAAUUGAAAAGUUUAAAUUUUUACAGGGUUUCAAAUUUGAGAAUGUUAGUUAAAUUUGUAGUUCCAGAAUGCACAAUUUUUUAUGGAAUCAUAUUUGUUAGCUGCAUACAAAAAUUGAGUCACAUGAUGUGGGGACAUCUCUUGAAGAUGUCCAACUUAACUCUUCAUCUCACUCAGGGUUUUGUGUGUUGUGUGCACGUACUGUGACAAACUAUGUACUUGCAAUAUCAGUAUGCAAUCUAAACAAAGUUUGGUGGUCAGUAAUGCUAAUGUAUUGUUGUCAGAAUUUGAACUGUGACCACUUAAAAUAUGCUGAGUUUUUCACUGGAAAUGAAAGUUAUGGGAGAAAACCAACUUUACAUUAUGUAAUGCAGCUUUGAUUGGAAAAAGUAAGCAGUUUACAGAACUACUCAAACCUUAAACUAGUAUCUUUCAUACUUGUUUCAGAUCAGUUAAUUGUGUGAAACCAGUUGAAAGAAAAUUAAGAGAUUAUUUUUUUGCAAAACAAAUCUACAUCUAGCCACUAGGAGAUAAUGUUUUUUGAAUUAUAUUAGUGAACCUUUAUUUGGAGUUCAUGAAUCAGUGAUUGACAGGGCAGACAAACCUGUGACUAAAAUUAAGAUGAUCUUAAGAAAUUUACUCCCCAGAGAUUGUUUUGUAAGGAUGCAAAAAAUAAUUUGAUAAAAUUGCCUGACAGUGUUCAUUUCAAAAAUCUAGAAAUGCAUUUUUAUUUUGAACCUGCACAAUCUCUGAAAUGUGCCAACUAACAAGCAUUUUGCACUGCCAGGUGACUGCCAAAAAACUUCUAAAACCUUUUCUUUAUUGGGAUUGCACUGAGCAGUUUUUAAAAUGCAUUUUUAUAUCCAUUUUAUAUCUUUGAAAAAGCUGAAAUGAUAGAAUUGUUUUGGCUAAUCUUAAAUUGGAUACCCUGUAAUGUGAAUUUGUUUAAACUAGUGUUGCUUGUGGGAAGUAUGAAACGUUUAAAUAGGUUGGGAAAAGAGCCAUGUAAAUAAAUGUAAAACUUUGUAGCAUAUGUAAAUUUAUGCUGGGCUUUCCUGCAGAAAAAGUAUUUUUAGUACAAAACUGCUGAAUGUAAGAUGACCAUGCUGAGUACAUGGCCUGAUUUUAAAAAAAAAAAUAUUUUGUUUAAAGAAACUGUAAAAGCACACGUGGCUAUGCCCUUGCACUUAAGUACGAGUGAACGUUCACGUUUGAUUUUGUUGUAAGCUGGUUUUUUAAGUAAAUUCAGUGCAAAUGAGGCUUUUAGAAUUUUUAAUAAAACAAAAAAAAACUGGAAAAAAAGCUACACCAAUCUGUGUAAGAUGCAUCUGUUUUGAAUGUAUAAAAGUGACUUUAGUUGGGAUGAACUAUUAUAGUACACUAAAAAAGUUCUAAAAAUCUAUUAAUGUAAAAGUCUCUCAGUAGAAAUCUUUAUAUAAAUACUUAAGAGCUAGAGCCCUGCCUACAAUUUAAAAAAGUAUUCUAGCUGGUUUUAUCCAGCAUUUUUGUAUUUGAGAGCACAGUAACUCCAUUGAUGCUGUAAUGAAGAUUAAGCCAUCCACACAUGGCUUUUAUUAUUUGGAAUUUAGAUGUCCCUCCCCUUAAAGAACCACUGAAGUGCUGUUCUAUUUAAAAAUAUAUAAAACCCUAUUAAGUCUUCCUUCUGAAUUCCCAGUAUGCUGGUUGUCAGCAUAUUAGUGUUUAGUAAAAGCUGUUUGUAAUAGAAUACCCAAUGCUUGAUUUUAUUCAGUGAUGCCAUAAUCCACUGUUUACAAAAGCACAGAUGCUUCCAUGGUGGAAGCGAGAAACUGAUUUGUGACAUGCUGAAAGAACAGGAAGAAAGUUGUUUAAACACAGUAAUCAGCAAUAAUGAAGAAUGAGUAAAUAGGGUAAUGAUUACAAAAAGUAGUUUGCUAAAACAAAAUUGGUUCUUUAAGUGCUCAAGAUGCACUUCUGUGCAUAUAGUUCUGUUUAUACAUUCAAAAUGUGCUGGCAGCUAUCUAUGUUUACACAUGUUCUCUCCAAAUAAGAUGAAUCGAUUGGCAGUUUCCUAAAAUUAUUACAUUCCUGUCUCCCAAACUCUCACCCAAUGUCAUCCAUUGUACCCAAAGUGUAAUUGUUAUAUUUGAAAUUUAAAGUGUUUAUGAAGUACUACUUGUACGUGUAUCAAUUGGAAGCUUCAAAAAACAAAACAAAACCCAAAACAAAUAAACUACCUAGCCUUUUCUCCCCUUAAACAUGUUUGUUUUGUUUGUUAAAAAUUGUAUAAAGUGAAUCACUUCUUGCUACAGCCUUACAUUUUACACUGAGAUUGAAUGUCAGCAUAGAUUCUAAUUAAGACCAGGCAAGAGGUGAUUUUGUAAUGUAUUCUGACAUGAGAGAGACUGAAAGAGGGGAGACUUCAGCAGUAUUUUGAACAUGAGUACUCAGCAGGAGCUGACUGGGUAGUAAAAGAUUUUUGUGCAAAUGGUGACAGGAGAUUUUUAAUGCAUGGCUGAAUGGGGGGGUAGGAGGGAGAGACAUUAGCUUUUAUGCCUGGGAGAUACAAGUGAUAGUGGAAAUGUAAACUGAAAGAGGCAGAAGAAAACAUUCAGGAGUAGAGUCAGCACCUAAAGAGAUGGUGGUUUCUUCAUACUCUUGUCUGUGACCAGCAGUUGUAUCAUCUUGUAUUUGGACUGUAAGCUCUUGGGCAGGAUUGUUUGUACAGCACCUAGCACCCAGUAAUGGAUCAGGACCUCAAUGUGCUAUGAGAAUAUAAAUAAAAUAUGACAGCUGUAGCGCUAGGUAGACUUAGAAAUCAGUGGUAUAGAAGUAGCAAUUGAAGCUAUAGGACAGGAUUUCAGAAAAAAUGGAUGAAUAUUUCCUUUAAAAAAAAAUUGUUCCAUACAGCUCUCCUUUCCUACAUUACCCAUGAGCACUCUUUCUUUGAGAGGGAUCAGUAUUUGAAAGUAACUAUCUUGAGUUAUUUUACACCAAUGAAGCCACGUACUAAUUUCUAGCUGCUUGAGUCUAGUUAAUAUGAAGGUCAGAAACCAUAAGACAAGUUACUUGUUCCUUAUUUUUAAUGGUGUAUGUUUCCAAAAUUGACUAGUUUUUCUAGUGGAGAAAGUGUGCACUUUUUUGCUGGCUGAAACAUUUUACACAAGUGUCAGGUCUUCCCUAGUUUUGCUAGUGGUCUGGCUUCAAACCAAAACCCAAGCUAUACUUGGUUGGGAUAGGUUUAAAAAGUCUUCAUACCCAUUUAACACCAAUGCCUGAAAAGAAAACUCUUUGCAAGAGAUUCAAUCCUCCUUCCCUUCACCAUUGAAGCCUGAGAACUUAGUGCGAUAGUCAUGUCAUAAAAUGAGCAGAAUUAAAAAAGACAAUCCAUACAUUUUUCAGUGCUCUGCUUCAGUUAAAUCCAGUAUGUGUAAUGAACAAUUAUAAAAAUCCAUAUUUAAACUCAAUAUUGGUUCAAAGUGAGUAACUGGAAUUAGAAAAUCAAAGAUUUUGCCCCCAGAAGAGAGAGUUCUGUGUUCAUAUAGCACCUACCAUGAUGGGAUCCUGGCUACUACAGAACCGUGCUUCUCAAGACAUUCCAACAGCAGUGGAUUUAAACAUUCUGCUCUUCAGUAAUGUAGCACACAAUUUUUUCAAACAGAUUAAUGGUAAACAGCACAGUGGACAUAUAGUUUACAUUCUCAGCUUCACCUUCCAAUUUCCCCUACAUUACUUUUAACUUGCACUUCAGUUAAGUCUUCUAGACCCCCACGUGCUACUGAAAUUCAUUUGGCGUCUAUGAUUUGAUUCCUCACCUGUAAAAUGUGGAUAAUAGAUUUCCUACCUCACAUGGUGGUUGCAAGGUGCUCAAAUACUACUGUAACAAGGGCUCAUAUAAAAUUGCUUGGAUGUAGGAUGAGAAUCAGCUGCCUACCAAGAACAGGGAGGGAUUUGAUUUACUAUACUCAAGCUUUUACAGAUUUAUAUGAAAUGAAUAGUUGAAAAUGGGAGAGAAAAAUACCCCUAUACAACAGCCUACAACCCAGGACAGCAUGAAAGUUACAACAGAAAACAACUUUUCAGUUUGAACUCUCCUAACAUUAAGGAUAAAACUAUAUUCUGAUACUACGCACAAAGGCACUUACUUUUCCGAUCACCCUGUGCAAACUGGAUUUCUAUCUGACGGCCACAAAUCCACUUCCGGUCCAAAUUAUGGAGGGCAUCUUCAGCAUCACGGACAUCUUCAAAUGUGCUAAGCGUUAAGGUACUUGGGAAUUUGAGUAGUUAACUUCAAAUUGACAGCUUUUCCUGGAUUUUUAAUCUCACUAUAGGGCACACUAAAAACUGUCUCCCAUUAACUGUAAGGUUGUAGGAGAAUUUUUGGAGAGAGAAUACUAUACAAAUCUUUUGAUAUAGGUACAACCAAGAGUAUUUAUCCUUUAGUGAACAAUCACCACGUAACUCCAUAGCCUACUUUUCUCCUAUACAUACUGAUGUAUCAAAAGUAGUUAAAGAAGUUUAGUUAUUAGUGAUCUGGAUUCUCUAGGUUUGCCUUACCCUCCUGCCCUCAAAAAAGAGGGGGGAUGCUAACUCUUAAAAUGCUUUAGAAACAUUAGUAAAAAGUGAAAAUUCUGCAUUCAUUACAUGACUGUAUUCAUGAAACUUAUUCCCUUUUUCACCUACUCCUUUAAAACUGAUUAUGACUUUCAAAUGUUACUGCUACUCUGAAACCUGUCAUAUAGAGCGCUGUAUUCUAUUAAAUAAAGCAUAUACUGAAACAUUAAGCUAUGGGUUAGAUGUUCAAUCAAUAUCUUUAAUCCAUAAAACUGUUCACUGUAAUUCACUCAUAUUCCUCUGUCUAGCUGACUUGAAAGAAUAAAUCAUCUGUAUUGGUCUGCAUACCAACUUCGUCCAUCGUCUCCUAGUUACCGUAUAGGCAUACUUAUCUUGAUAAAUAAACCAAGAAUGAAUGCAUUUCAUUCAAGACAGUUACAAUUUCAAUACCACCCACAAGUGAAAUAUUACAGGUUCUGUCAACAGACUAAACCAGAAUAGUGUAUCAAGUUACCACUUUACAAGAGAAACAGAAAAAAAACAACGGUUAUUCUGUAGGAUACAUCAGGUAUGACUCCUUUAAUCUUGGCCACCAUUCAACUUCAUCUUGACCUUUAACUCUUUAAGUGCUUGUCAGAAGGACUUGUCAUGAGAUGCUUGGUCAAAAAUGACAGAUGGCUUUAUC